rnacentral:rRNA from 1 species
UACGUAGGGGGCAAGCGUUGUCCGGAUUACUGGCGUAAAGGGCGCGUAGGUGGCUGGGUAAGUGUGCGGUGAAAGCCCGGGGCUCAACCCCGGGUCGGCCGUGCAGACUGCUUGGCUUGAGCAUAGUAGAGGCAGGUGGAAUUCCGGGUGUAGCGGUGGAAUGCGUAGAGAUCCGGAAGAACACCGGUGGCGAAGGCGGCCUGCUGGGCUAUUGCUGACACUGAGGCGCGACAGCGUGGGAGCA